rnacentral:rRNA from 1 species
UACGUAGGCAGCGAGCGUUGUUCGGAGUUACUGGGCGUAAAGCGUGCGCAGGCGGCUUUGCAAGACAGAUGUGAAAUCCCCGGGCUCAACCUGGGAAUUGCAUUUGUGACUGCAAGGCUAGAGUACGGCAGAGGGGGAUGGAAUUCCGCGUGUAGCAGUGAAAUGCGUAGAUAUGCGGAGGAACACCGAUGGCGAAGGCAAUCCCCUGGGCCUGUACUGACGCUCAUGCACGAAAGCGUGGGGAGCAAACAGG